rnacentral:rRNA from 1 species
AGAGUGAACGCUGGCGGUAGGCCUAACACAUGCAAGUCGAACGGCAGCACAGUAGGAGCUUGCUCUUACGGGUGGCGAGUGGCGGACGGGUGAGGAAUACAUCGGAAUCUACCUUUUGGUGGGGGAUAACGUAGGGAAACUUACGCUAAUACCGCAUACGCCCUUCGGGGGAAAGCCGGGGACCAGCAAUGGCCUGGCGCUGAUAGAUGAGCCGAUGUCGGAUUAGCUAGUUGGUGAGGUAAUGGCUCACCAAGGCGACGAUCCGUAGCUGGUCUGAGAGGAUGAUCAGCCACACUGGAACUGAGACACGGUCCAGACUCCUACGGGAGCAGCAGGUGGGGAAUAUUGGACAA